rnacentral:lncRNA from 1 species
UGGGCCCACCUAAGCAAAUGACAUGGGCUUAUAGGCCCAUUUUUACUGUUAAGCUACUAAGGUUGCACGGGUCGCCCGAGACGACUGUGAACCUAUUAUAGGGUCGGUAAGUGUACUUAGACCCCCAAUUGACUGAAAUGACUGCUAUACCUUUAUAUGAUAUAAACAUUUGUAUGACUGUAUAUGAGGCAUGCUGCUAAAACUAUUCUGAAUGCAUGUAUAGUACUAUGACUUGGCAUGACAUGUUGUAUAUUGCACUGCAUUGGGUUGGGGGUUAUAUUAUGCGGAGGAAGUGCACUGAUAGGCCUCGAGCCUGAUUUACUGGCAGCUCAGCUGCAUAUUACUAUAUGGUGUCGCAUUCGACAUUACUUGGAGUGUAGGGUUGGGUGGGUUGAUUAUAUCCCCACAUGGAGUGCAGGGUUGAAUGGAGAUAGUGUGUAGAGGCUAGUUGGGUAGGAAUCUUGUGAUUGCAUAUAUGACACUGUUACUGAAAAAGGGCUUAUGCCAGAUUGUGAUUAUCUGUAUGCUAUCUAUUUUUGUGCAUGGGGAUUACGCACUAAUUUUUUGUAAACUCACCCGUUUUGUUUCACUACGCAGGUAAUCCCCAGACGUAGGUGGAUCGGAGCAGCAAGAGACUCAAAGUUGGCCACACAACUGCGUAUAUUUUCGUAUUUGAUUGUGAUUAUAAGUAAUAUUGUUUAGGGUAAUUUUUACUGUAAUAAGGCCUCUAUGGAUUUUUAACUUAACUUGGGAUUUGUUUUUCAUUGCUUAUGAUUCAUAAUCACUGGUGGUAAGAAAACAUGGGUUUUCAAUAGUUACAAAUGUUUUCUUUCAAAACACUCACCGCUACGUAAAUUGUUUUAAAAGCUUCGGCCAAUUAUAACGACUUAUAAAUAAAUGGAUAAUGUUUUGAAAACAAAUAACUUGAUUUAGUGAUAAUACAAGAUAACAAAAAUGGCCUAACUACUACUUAUUUUUUGAAAGCACUUUCAUGUGACAUCGCCAGAUUCGGCCAUAACAUCUGGGCCGGGUUUAGGGUGUUACAUUAAUAAAGAUAAUUGUCUGAGAUUUCGAGAUAUAAUUUGUGUUUCGAGAAAUUCAGAAUUGAUUCAGAUGAUUUUGGAUGAAGCUCACAAUAGUCAUUUAUCUGUUCAUUCGAGUAGUAUGAAAAUGUAUAAUGACUUGAAACAGCAUUACUGGUGGUCUAGAAUGAAAAGAGAUAUCUCUGACUUUGUUUCUAAAUGUUUAAUCUGUCAGCAAGUUAAAACUGAACAUCAAGUGUCCUCUGGUUUGUUAGAACCAAUAAUGAUACCAGAAUGGAAAUAGGAUAGAGUGACGAUGGAUUUUGUUUCGAGUUUUCCUCUACCUCCGAGAAAGAAAGAUGCAAUCUGGGUUGUAGUUGAUCGAUUGACAAAAUCAGCCCAUUUUAUUCCGGUACGAUCCGGUUACUCACUUGAUAAUUUAGCUGAGUUAUACAUUUCCAAUAUUGUGAGAUUACAUAGUGUGCCAUUAUCUAUUGUGUCAAACAGAGAUACGAGAUUUACAUCGCGAUUUUGGAAGAUAUUGCAAGAUGCUCUGGGUACGAAAUUGCACUUCAGUGCUACUUUUCACUUGCAGACAGAUGGUCAAUUCGAGCGGAUUAUUUAAAUACUCGAGGAUAUGUUGAGAUGUUGCAUUCUUGAGUUUGAAGGUACAUGGGAAUAGUAUUUACCUUUGAUUGAAUUCACUUAUAAUAACAGUUUUCAAUCGAUCAUUAAAAUGGCACCAUACGAAGCCUUAUAUGGUUGCAAAUGUCGUACACAAUUGUAUUGGUCAGAACUCAGUGAACAUAAGAUACACAGGGUUGACUUGAUAAAAGAGAUUGAACAAAAAGUAAAAUCCGAGAUAGUCUGAAAGCAGCAUCUGAUCGUCAGAAAUCAUAUGCAGAUUUGAAAAGAAAAGACAUUGAAUUUGAGAUUGGCGAUAAAGUGUUUUUGCAAGUGUCCCCGUGGAAGAAAGUACUUCGAUUUGGAAGAAAAGGCAAAUUGAGUUUAAGGUUCAUCGGGCCGUAUGAGAUUACCAAGUGUAUCGGGCCGGUUGCUUAUCGAUUGUCGUUGCCACCUGAGUUAGAAAAGAUUCACAAUGUAUUUCACGUAUCAAUGCUUCAACGAUACAGAUCUGAUCCUUCACAUUUGAUUCCUCCGUUCGAGAUUGAGAUUCAAUCUAAUAUGACCUACGAUGAAAAAUUGAUCCGUAUCCUAAAUCGUGAGGUUAAAGAAUUGUGAAACAAGAAAAUUCCAUUAGUAAAAGUGUUGUGGAAUCGACACAGUAUUGAAGAGGCUACGUGGGAGCCUGAAUAUGUUAUGAGACAACAAUAUCCGAAUCUGUUCAACGGUAAGAUUUUCGGAGAUGAAAAUCCCUAAGGGGGAGAAUUGUAACAGUCUGGAAUAGACCCUAGUCGGAAUAGUGGUUUAGGGGCCACAAAUUUGAGUCAGAAAAAAAUAUUUAAUAUUAUUUUUUGUGUUUAAAAUAUGUGUAUUGACAUGUGUGAAAGUUUCGUAUGAAAAUUCAGAAAAUUAUGUGCUUAAUUUAAUAAAAGGACCUAAUCCCGUAAAAUGUAAAAGUGACCUUCUAUUUGUUAAAAUGCUUAUUUGACAUGUCUUUGUAAGUGAAAGGUCCUUAUGUUGAUAGUUGACCAUUGUAAGCUUGAGUGGACAAUUAUGGCCUUUUAUAUUAAUGUUUUAAAUGUUUAUUAUUAAGGGCAAAUUUGGUAUUUGGUAAUUAAAGCCAUAUUUAUAAAAUAAAAAACAUGAAAUUAGCCAUUUGUUCAUGCUAUUGCGAAAAAUACAAAAGGAAAAGAAAAGAAAAUACAAGCUAGGUUUCGACUAUUUAUUUUGGUGAUUAAGGUAUGAGUUUUGUUCGGUUUUUGAUGAUUUUUACGUUUUUUUAUCGUUGUUAAGUGUUCUAGCUAGCCCAUGUUUGAAUUUCUAAAAUUUUUGAUGAUUUUGAGUUGAGCCAUUGAUGAAAUUAUGAGUUUUAUGAAGUUUGAUGAUAGUAUGUGAAAGCUUGAUGUUGGGUUAACAUGUUUUGUCUUUGAAAUUUUGAUGAAUUUGAGUAAUUUGGGCUAAAUUGUAAAAUUGAUAUUUUGAGGGAUUAAAAUGUGAAAUAAAUGAAAUAUGUGGGCUUAUAUUAGCACUAGGAAUAUUCAGCUAAGUAUAUGUUUAAAGAAAUUUGGUGUAUUUUUUUUAUUUUAUGAAUUAAGGACUAAAUUGUCAAACUGUGAAAAUGUGAGGGCUAAUUUGUAAAAUAGCUUAAAUAUGUGUUUUUGGAUUGAUUUGAAUGAUUUGGUGAAUAAAAGAGUUAAAUUUGAAUUUAUAUAGAUCAAGAAUUAAAGAAAACAGAAUUAGAUCGGGGAAAGUCAAAAGUCGUCGAGUAGUCGAUUCCGUCUAUCCGAAUCCGUACGAGGUAAGUGUAUAUACAAAUAAAUGUGAAUUGAAUUACUAUAGAUUAUAUGCUAUUGAACUAUGAGGAAUGAAUAUAUGAGUUGAGAAAAAUGAGACAUCCGAGAAAGUAUCUACAAAGUUCCGACGUCUGAAAAGCCCCGUACGAACCUUAGGAAUAGUUAGGAUACAUAUGUCAUGACAUAGGAUCCGAUAUGUGUUAUCGUGUAAGACCAUGUCUGGGACGUUGGUGUCGACUUAUGAUUUAUGUGUAAGACCAUGUCUGGGACAUCGGCAUCAUAUUUGAUUUCGUGUAAGACCCUGUCUAGGAUAGUGGCCUCGAUAUUUGAUUACAUGUAACACCACAUCUGGGACGUUGGCAUUUAUGAGCUUUCCGAGCUAUCCGCGUAUCCUUAUGAGUCCGAACAGUUCAACGAUCAUUUCGAGAAAAUAGAUGACUACGUGAAUUUGUAUCUGACUCAGGUACGUUUAAAUCAUAUACCAUGUUUAAGAAUGAAAGGUAGGUAUAUGUACCUUGAUGAAUGUUUGAUAUAAUUAUGAGUUACUAUGAGAAUGAGUUAUGACAUGUAUAUGUGAGUUAUGUUCAAAUGAAUUAUAAGAGAUACGUGGUUAAGUGAAUGUAUUUUGCCUUAAAUUUUAUGAAUGAAAUGAUGUUAUUUGUUAAGUUUAUUUGUAUAUGGAUUACUAAGCUUUUGAAAGCUUACUGUGUGUUGCACUAUUUUAUAGAUAUCAAAGCUACUAGAAGCUUAAGGAUCGUCAAGGAUCAUCACCACACUAUCGAACCUUAUUUUGGUACCUUUUGACAUUAUGAAUAUUAGAAUAUGGCAUGUAUAGGCUAGAAGUAUUUGGAUAUGUUUUGUAAUGUAUAUAUCAUGCCAUGUGAUAUGGCUAGUUUGUGGUUGAAAUUAUGGUUUGAUUUUAGUAUAUGUUAUGUGAUGUAAACUAUGCUUAUGUGAUGUGUUUAUGAAUAACCAAAGGAAAUGGUCAAUUAUGGUAAGUUUUGGAAUGUGCAUAUUUGAGAAAUUGGUAAGUUUAUAGCAUGUGAUUGAAUGAAGUAAAAAAGUGAGGUUAUGAAACAAAUGUUUAGAUAUGAUUUUGUCUUAUGUUUUGGCAUGUGAAUGGAUGAGGUGAAUUAGAGUUAUGAAACAUAUGAUUUAAUAUGACUUUGGCUCAUGAUUUGAUAUGAUUGAGUAUAAAUUAUAAUCUUGAAUUUGGUUGAUAAUAAUAUGGCAUGAAUGAUGUAAGUUUUGGUAUUGAAAUUGGCUGAAAUUAUAGUGCAAAUGUGCUUGAUUUGAUGCUUGUAGGUUUGACCCAAAUCGGGUGGCAAAUUGGCUUUUCAAAUGGCCUAUUUUUGUUCACAUAGGCAGAGACACAGGCGUGUGUCUCAGCCGUGUGCGACACACGGUCAUGUUGCACGGCCGAAUGUCCCCUGGGGUACCCUACGAUUUUAGGUCAGUCUUGAGCUCGACCAAGGCAUACGGGCGUGUGGCUAUCAGUGUGACCCAAGUUAGUUUCGACCACGGCCAAGGCGCACGGGCAUGUCUUGUGGCCGUGUGAUUAAGUCAAUAUGUAUGCCCUGUUUUGAUACGGCCUAGGCACAUGGGCGUGUCUAAAGCCGUGUGAGGCACAUGGCCUGUUCACACUGGUGUGUGACCUGUACAACCUUGAAAAAUGUUUAAGUUUUGAGAAAUUUUGUUUGAGCUUGCUUUAGUCCUGACCUUUUUUUUUAAAGCAUGUUUAAGGUCUCGUUGACCUAUGUAAGGGACUUUGUAUUGAUAUUUUACCUUUGAUGCUAUGAUGUUUGUGAAAUGAAUGUUAAAUGUUUCGAUAUGUCCUGUAACGCCUUUAACCCUAGUCCGGCGAUGGGUACGGGUUAGGGGUGUUACGUAUAAGCAAUGUAUAUAAUGAUGCCUUUCAUGAAUAUGGAAACUUGCAUGAUUUGAGUUGAUGAGUAUGUGAUGUUUGUGUAUAACAGAUGGUAGCAUGUAAUUGACGUGUGGAUGUCUUGAUUGUGGCUAAUUUGGUUUUAUGUAAAUUCUUGAAUUGGUGCUUUGUUGUGUUGUGUAGGUGUGAUAAUCAAAGGGUGGCGAAAUGGCUUGGUAAAUAGCCUUAUUUUUGUCCACACGGGUGGACACAAGGGCGUAUGUCUAGGCUAUGUGCUUCACACGACUUGCCCCACGGGCGUGUGUUUAGGUCAUGUGCCCCCUGCACCUUAAUUUUUUUUGCAAAACAGAAUGCUCAGAAUUGAGCACACGGGCAGAGACAUGAGCGUGUGUCCUGUGCGUGUGAUGUUUGCACCUAUUUUAUGAAAAAUCAUAAAAUUUUAAUUCGACCACACGGCCUAGUACACGGGCGUGUGACUUGGCCGUGUGUCUUCACUUUGUUCUUAGGUGACAAACAGAGAGUUACACGGUGUUGGGACACGGGUGUGUAUAACCACACAGCUUGCCCACAUGGGCGUGUCCCAUAUCCACACGGGCGUUUGACCCCUGUUAAGUGAAAAAUUUUCUAAGUUUUUCAAAAUUUUCUAAAGUUCUCUGUUUAGUCCCAAACCACUUUCAAUGCAUGUUUUGGGCCUCAUAGGCUUGUAUUACAGACUUUAUGGUUAAAUACAAAAAGUUUUAAUUUGGGCGAAAAUUCAUGGCUCAAAAAUGUAUGUUUGUUUGUGUUUUAAGUUAUGUAAUGCCCCAUACCCUGUUCCGACAUCGAAUACAGGUAAGGGGUGUUACAGUCAUAAUCCUUCAAAAGUUAAAUUCAUCGCAUUUGCCUUAUAUUCAACUCUUUUUAAGUGAGGAGAUACUUAAGGUUCUUAUGAUCUGUAUAGAUAAGACAUCUUUCACAAUACAGAUGAUGGCGCCAAAUCUUAAGCGCAAAUAUCACAACAGCUAACUCCAAGUCGUAGGUCAAAUAAUUACGUUUAUGUGUCUUCAACUGUCUUGAGGCAUUAUCCACUAUCUAGCCUUCUUAUAUUAACACAACCAAGUCCCAAGUACGAGGCAUCACUAUAAACCACAAAAUCUUUCUCGGGCUCCAAUUGAGUCAAUACAAGUGCCUCAGUCAAAACUACCUUGAGUUUCUCAAAACUUUUCUGCCUUUCAUCAAUUCAUUCAAACAACACAUUUUUCUAAAUUAGUUUCAUUAAGGGUGCAGCAAUAAGGGAAGACCCUUCCAUGAACCUAUGAUAAUAAUCAACUAAACCCAAGAAACUUUAAACUUUUUUAACACGCUUCGAUGGUUUCCAAUCUAAGAUCGCUUCAAUUUUCUUCAGAUCCGCCUGGAUUGUAACAUCCCGAUUUUGGGCCUAGUCAUAUCAGUGGUUUCAGAACCACAAAUUCAAGGUCGGAGAAAUUAUUUUUGAUAUUAUUUUAUGUGUUAUAACAUGAUUUUAUAGAUAUUUGAAAAGUUUGGUGAAUUAAUUUUAGUAGUUACAUGCUUAAUUCUGAAAAAUGGAUUAAAUCGCAUAAAAAGUGAAAAUUAUGUUCUACUAGUCAAAAGUGUUAUGUAGCUAAAUAAAUUAGAUGUGGAGGUCCUUAUUGAGUAAAUAGACUACUAAUAAUGAGUGGUGGAUGUACAUGGAGACAAAAAAAUUAAAAGUCAAAGUUGGUGGCUUUAGGUGACUUAAAUGGCCACGGAAGCUUGAAAAUUUCAGUAACUUCUAACCCUCGCAAGUAAGUGAUUUUGAUGGUCAUUUUUGAUGAUUUUUAUAUUUUUGGAACCCUUGUAGCUUAAUCUAACUAAUGAGGGACUAUUUUUCAAAAUGGUUGAAAGUCUAGGGUUUUGCCAUGAGAAUAUUCAUGUUGUUUGCUGCAUUUUUAUGGAAGAAAAUGAAUAUUGGUUGUUAAGUAAACAACUUUCGUUAAAUGAUUUUCAUGAAAACACCUAAAAUGGGUCAUUUUGUAAAAGUUGUAAAAUAGGUGAUAAAUGUGUGAAAUAAUGGAAAAUGUGAGCUGCCCUAAGCAUGAAAAUGGUUCGGCUAUGCAUGGGUAGUAAAGAAAUUGAACACAUUACAUUUUAUGAGCCUAGGGGCAAACAUAUAAAUAUGAUAAAGUAUAGGGUAAAAAUGUAAUUUUACCAAAAAUGUGAAAUUGGGCUAAUUUGAGUAGCAUGAUGAAUAAAUAAAUUAAAUAUGUUGUUAUAGAUCAAGGAAGAUGAAAUUCAGAAUUAGAUCGGGGGAAAAGCAAAAUAAUCGAGUAAUUGACUUAUUUCGUCGUUUCAUACUGAGGUAAAUUCGUAUGUUAAUAAGCAUUAAAUUUGAUAUGUUUAAAUGCUUAAUUGAUAUCAUGUAUUAUUUCGUAUGUUAUUAUUGGAUCAUGAAUAAUAUAAAAAUACGAGAUCGUAUUGAAAGAUCAAAUUAAGAGAAAUGCAGGGUUGACCAUGAUCAAAUUACAACAUGUUAUGAAUUGACAGUAAAGACCAUGGUUGGACCAUCGCAAUAUGUGUAACCGUGUAAGACCAUAUCUUGGAUAUGGCAUUGACAUGUGAUCCUGUAUAAGACCAUGUCUGGGGCAUGGCAUUGGCAUCGUUAUGUGAGCCAGUAUAAGACCAUGUCUGGGACAUGGCAUCGGCAUUGUUAUGUGAGCCAGUGUAAGAUCAUGUUUGGGAUAUGGCAUCGGCAUCGUUAUGUGAGCUAGUGUAAGACCAUGUCUGGGAUAUGGCAUCGGCAUCGUUAUAUGAGCCAGUGUAAGACUAUGUCUGGGACAUGGCAUCGGCAUGAUGUAUUGUGUAAGACCAUAGCUGGGCUAUUGGCAUAGACAUGAGAUUUCCAUGUAAGACCAUGCCUGGGACAUUGCAUUGGUACAAUACAUCAUGUACGAUUUUUCCCAAGUAUCCUUGGUAUCCCAAGAGGUUCAACGGGUAAAUCCAAGGAUUUUGUCAAAGAAAUGACAAGGUAUGAUCAUGAUGAAAGGGUACAGGUAUGUACGCAAAAUUCAUGAGUAAUGAAUUCGAUGUAUAUGGGACAUUUGGUAAGAAUGUAAAUGAGUAAUUCCUACCUGUGAAAAUGAUCUUGCGAUGACCUUGUGAUUAUAAGUCUAUACUUAUGAUGUAUAAAUAGGUGGUAAAUUUGAUUGAUGAUCAUGUGUGAGGCUUUCAAGCCAAAUUAAAUUGAGACAUGAUAAGUUUAAGUUUUGUUGUUGAUGUAUAGGUUAAAUUGGCCAAUGAAUGGUAUGUAAAUAUUUUACAAUGACUAGCUAUUGGAAUGGCUAGUUAAGGAUAUGCUUUGGUGUUAUGUAUGAUUAAAUGGAAGUUAAUACAAAGAAAUCAUGAAAGAGUAAAGUUGGCAGUAAAACAGUUCUAGACAGGAGCAAUUGUAGAACUUUGAAAAAUCACCAAAAAUUGUGGAAAUUUAAUUAGAGGUUGAAUAAGAUAUUAAAUUAAAUAUUAUUGAGUCUAGUUUCACAUAGAUGAAACAAUGUAAGCAAAAGAAUUUCAUAUUAUGAGAUGUUUGAAUUUUUGUGGGACAGGGUCAAGAUGAAUUUGGAAUCCCCUGUUUUGAAUUUGAAAAAUCAUUAAAAAUAGUAUAAAAAUAAUUAUGAGUUAUAAUUUAUAUUUUUAAAUUAUUAAUGAAUAUAUUUUCAAGAUAAUUAAAUGAGAACAUCAUCCAAGUCCCGUACGAGGAGAUAAUUAAUUUUUAGUGAAGAAGGGCCAAAACUGUCUGACGGCAGAACAGGGACGACUUUAAAGAAUAAAUUGUACUUAUUGGCUAAACCAAAAAUUCUAGAAAUUUUAUGGUAAGGAGAUAUGUGAGUCUAGUUUCAGGAAAAAUUAGUGGAACUUAAUUUUGAGUUCCAUAUCUCAAGAUAUAAAUAAUUUAGUGACUAUAACUUGCGUAGACAACUUCAUAUGAACAUAAGUGAAUAAUGGAACUUUUUGCAAUUAUGAUUGCAUUAUCUUGAGAACAUAUUAUGAGGAUUUUUAAAAGCAUGUUAAUAAAUUGUUUAUUAUUUACAUACCUACUUACUAAGUUAUAUGCUUACUUUCUCUUCCUUUCCUUUUUCCUAUAGUGUCACGGAUGCUAGCUCGAGUUGGAGGUUGUCGGAGAUCCUAUCACACUAACAAGCUAUUGAUGGGUAUCAAUGAUUUUCUAGCAUUUUAAAUGUAUGGCAUGUAUAGGGAUUUGGUUAUUGUGAACAUGAUAUUAUGAGUUGGCCUAGAAUAUUGGCCUAUGCUAAUUGAAGGUCAUUUUUGUAUAAGGCCAUUUAGUGUGGCCAAUAUUUGCUAUGUUAUAAGUCUAUGAUAAAGUAUUACAUGGAUGUGCAUGCUUGUUUGGGUUGGAUGAGUGAAUGCGUGAUAAUUAUGUGUGGAAAAUACUAAAUGUGAAUGGUUGAGUAAGUUAUAUGUUGUAAUUAGUUAAGUGUGUGUGUGGUUGUGCAUGUUGAAUGUGAUUUAUAAAUAGUGUGUGAAUGCCAUGGUGUGGUUAUUGGGAUGUCUAAAAAUGUCAUGUUGUGUGUUCAUAAACUUAAUAUGGGUGUGCAAGUUUUUUUUGGAUGGAAAAAGACUUGGUAAAUAGCCUAACUAUCAUCCACAUGGAAGGCCACAUAGCCUAGCACAUGGGCGUGUGACAUGGCCGUGUGGCCCAAAAUGGGUGAUGACAUCAUAAACAAAGAGUUACACAGGUGGAGGACACGGGCGUGUCCUGAGCCACACGGGCGUGUGUGACCACACGACCUACCCACACGGGCUUGUGACUCUCCAAAAUAUGAAAAUUUUCUUAGUGUCUCAAAAGUUUCAAAAGUUCUCAGUUUAGUCCCUAACCACCUCCAAUGUAUGUUUUGGGCCUCGUAGGCCCAUAUAAGGGACUUCAAGAUAGAAAUUGAAAAGUUUUAAAUUUGAACAAAAUUUUAUGACCUACAAAUGUUUGUAUGCAUGCGUUUGAGUCUAGUAACGCCUCGUACCCUAUUCCAACGAUGGACGUUGGUAAAAGGUGUUACAUGGAUCCCAUCUGCUGACAUAACAUGGCCUAAGAACGUUACCUCUUUUAGCCAGAAUUCGCAUUUACUCAACUUAGCAUACAACUAUUUUUCCCACAUUAUCUGCAAAACAAUUCCCGGAUUUGUGUCGUGAUCCUCCUUAGAAUGAGAAUAUACCAAAAUGUCAUCUAUGAAGACAACCACAAACUGAUCCAAGUAUGAAUGAAAAACACAGUUCAUCAAGUCCAUGAAUGUAGUAGGGACAUUAGUUGAACCAUACAGCAUGACUAGAAACUCACAAUACCUAUAUCGAGUCUUAAAAGUGAUUUUCAAGAUGUAAGACUCCCUCACCAUCAAUUAAUAAUACCUUGAUCUUAAGUUUAUCUUUGAAAACAUCGUCGUUCCUCUGAACUAAUCAAACAAAUCAUCGAUUCAAGGAAAAGGAUACUUAUUCUUGAUAGUCAACUUGUUCAAUUGUCUAUACAUAAUCACAACGUAUCGUCCUUUUUCUUUAAUAACAAAAUCGAUGCACCCCACAGAGAUACACUUGGUCGAAUGAAACCUCGGUCAAGUAACUCUUGCAACUAAAUCUUUAACUCAUUAAGCUCUUUUGGUGCCAUACAAUAGAGCGCAAUAGACAACUAUGCAAUACCAGGAAAGAGCUCAAUGUCAAAUUCUACUUCACGAUUCAAUGGCAAACUAGGUAACUCUGCCAGAAAUAAGUCAGGAAAAUCCUUAACGAUAUAGAUAUCCUGAACUCUCAAUUCCUUGCUAACUGAGUUCAUCACAUAAGCCAAAUAGGCUUCAGAAUCUUUCUCCAUCAUCUUUUCAACCUUAAUAGCCGAAACCACAUUAGACAAAAAUUUAGGCCUUUCUCUGACAACUACAAUUUCCAAUCCAUCACUACUCUGCAGAACAAUCCACUUCAUUUCAAAAUCUACCUUAGCCUUAUGCUCAGUUAACAAGUUCAUACCAAGAAUCACAUUAAAACCAUAAAAAGGCAAUUUCAUAAAGAUUACCAAAAAUACAAGCCCUUGAAUCAUGAAGGGACACCUACAAUAUACUCAAUUCACCAUAACACUUUCACUGAAGGAACUAAUAACAGUCAUGCCCAAACCAAUAAUUUCUACAAGAAUUUCUAAAUCACAAGCCAGUUCGUUCAAAAUAUGCCAAUGCGUAGAGCCGGAAUCAACCAAAGAAAAUAAUGGAAUAGAUAGCAAACUGAGUACAUGCGAUAAUGUUUGUCAAAUUUUGAUCUUGCAGCUUUCUAACAGCAUAAACCUGAACUGGACCUCCUGACUCAACAUGAGUAGCAAUAGUAUGAGCAAUGAAUCGUUGCCUAACCGGUCUCCCAUUACCUCCUCUACCUCGACCACAGCCUCUAACAGGCAUAAAUGCAGGUGUAAAACUCUGAGUCACCAAAACCUCAACUUUGUUUAGACAGUCUCUUAACAAGUGUUCCUUAGAGCCAUACUUGAAACAUCCACCUGACAAUUUCUGGCACUAUCUAAAAGCCUAUGCUCACAAUGCAUACAAAGUGACCAUUUAGAACCACCUGAUGAUUUACCAGUACUAACCACCACACUACUCUACUGCUUAGACUAACUUAGUUGAAACCCAUAUCUAGUACCUCUACUGUAACACCCCUUACCUGUAUCCAAGGCCGGAACAGAGUACGAGGCAUUACCAGACUUAACCAUACACAUAGAUCAAAACCAGGCCAUAAAAUUUCAUUUAAUUCAAAACUUUUCGAACACAUGCAUAGACUCAUAUUUAAAGACAUAUAACGUGGCAUAAAUAAGCACUUGCACAUCCAUAAUCAUGCAAUAACAUGUCUUUCACUUUAAACAUAUUUGCUUACCAUCCUGUAUAUAAUAUACAUUCUUACAUUAACUAGAACUAGACAUGCUAAAUCUUAUUCUCGUUUUAUACCAUCAUAACGUAGUUACCAAUUUUUCCAUUAAACAUCCAUAUUCAAGGCAACAUUACUCAUUUCCAUUUCAUUCAUGAUCCACUGGCCUGCAUUUAACUUACCUGAUGUAUUACCAAUCAUGCAUAACAAACAAAGCUAACUAUAUCAUCACAUCAAAACAUAAGACAAUGCAUGAUUAAUUAAACUUAUAAACCAUAAUGGAUAAGGACCACAUCUCAUGAUCAUAUACGAUAACUCAAUGCAAACUGAUACAUAUGGUCAAACUUAUAAUAAUAAUACAUAUCACAAACCAACUUCCUAUACAUGCCACUCACUUGAUAUUUCUAAUAUUUGAAUUAAUUCUCCCAAAAAUGAUAGUUUGAUAAUGUGAUUUUGCCUCCGACGAUCUCCAACCCCGAGCCAACCUGCCAAUACUAAAGAGAUGGAGAGUAUGGGUAAGCUUUAUGCUUAUUAAGUCCAUAUGAAAUUAAUAAGCAAUUACUAACAUGCUUUUCAAGAUAAAACACUAUAAUUGUACAAUUACACAUGUUCAGGUUAAGUUAUUUUAUCAAGUUAUAGUUACUAAAUCAUUUAUAUCUGAAGCUACAAAACUCAAAUUUUAGUUUUGUUAAUUUUACAUGAAACUAGAUUCAUAUACCUUUCUCCCAUAAAAUUUCCAGAAUUUUUGGUUUAGCCAAUUAGUACAGUUUAUUCAUUAAAAUUUCCCCUAUUUUGCUGUCCAACAGUUCUGACCUCUCUUCACUAAAAAUUAUUUAUCUCAUAUUUCGGGACUCAGAUGACGUUCCCAUUCAUUCAUCCUGAAAGUAUACUCAUUUAAUAUUCUAUUCAUAUAAAUUAUAACUCAUAAUUAUUUUUUUACAAUUUUUAACAAUUUUUCCAAGUCAGAACAGGGGAUCUCGAAUUCAUUCUGACACUGUCUCACAAAAAUUAGAAUAUCACAUAAUAUAGAACUCUUUUGCUCCCCCUAUUUAUUGUAUAUGAAAAUAGACUCAUUAAUAUUUAAUUCCGUAAUCUUUUUGAAAUUUAAUUCAACCUACAUGAUUUUUGGUGAAUUUUCAAAGUCACGCAAUUACUGCUGUCCAACACUAUUUUACUUCUAAAAUUCACUCUUACAUAAUUUCACUUAAUCCAUUUUGUCUUAUCGAAGUUCACUCAAAUAUAGAGCAUAUUGCUCAUAAUUUUCAUAAACAUAUACCUGCACUUAUUCAUCAUAUAAUCAUGUUCACAUGUAUUUUUACUUAAUCGAUUUUCCCGUUGAACUCUUCAGAAUAAUAACUGAUUCUCAGUUGCAUGCACAUAUUUUCACACUUGUAGACAAGGCUAUCUAGUACGCAUAGUAACCUGCACUUAGUACUACACAUGUGACCAAUUAUCCGGUACACGUAGUAGCCUGCACUUAGUACUACACACGUGACCUAACCAUCUGAUACACGUAGUAGCCUGCAUUUAGUACUACACACGUUAUCGAAGUUAUCGGGUACGCAUAGUAACCUGCACUUAGUACUACACAUGCGACCAAUUAUCCGGUACACGUAGUAGCCUGCACUUAGUACUACACACGUGACCUCACAAUAGAUCAUUCGUAUCGUUUCUAUUUUGAAGGCUCAACCGGGAAAUUCCUCACUUUCCAACAUGUUACAAAUUUAUUCAUAGUCCUUUUUCUGUUUGCAAUUUACAACAAAUAGUCAUUCUAUAGGCAGCCACAUUUCAUAUGAUAACAUAAUAUAAUAAAAUAAAAAGAAUCAAUAAAUUAUUUAUGUACAAACUUGUCGAAAUCUCAUCAGGUACAAUCGUGUAGCAAUUCAUACAACCCAGGUAAUAGUAAUUUAACACUCAAUUCAUGUAACAAUAAUUUGCCAUUCAAUUUCACAUGAGACAACAAGCAUUACAUUUUUCCAUAUCAUACAUACCAUCCAUCAACCUCUCUUAAACAUAUUAAAUCAUACAAUUUAUGCCAUAUCAAUAGAGCAUUACAAUUCAUGCAUGGUAUUUCAUUAUUAUUAACACACGAACUUACCUCCAUCCAGAAACAGCAAUUUACUAUUUUAGUCCAUAACUUGUAUUUUCCCGAUUUAAGCCCGAAUCUCGAUUUCCUUCAUCUAUAUUAUCACAUUUAGCCUAAUAAUUAGUCACAUUAUUCAUACGGGUCCAAAAAUCAUAUUUUUACAAAUUUGUAUUUUGACCCCUAAACUUUUGCAUAUUUGCACUUUUUCCCCAAGGUUCGGAAAUUAAACUUCAUCCUAUUUUCUUAUGUUUUAUGACAUGCUGAUCAUUUUUCCGUUCUAUGGAAACAUCAAAUUCUCACUCUAACAUGUACUUAUGAACAUUAGGUAUUUUUACCGAUUAUGUCGUUUUACUCGUUUUCACGUAAAAUCACUUAGCAAAAGUUGUUUAACACAAUUUCAAGCUUCAUAUACUACCAUUAAACAUCAAAAUACAUGCAUAUCAUUCAUGGGUAAAUUUUUAAACACAAACCCUAGCUCAAAAUAAUGGUAGAAAUAGCUAGAACAUGUUACCGGGACUUCAAAAAUGUAAAGAACAUUAAAAACGGGGCUCGAGAUCACUUAAAAAUGAGCUUGGAAAGCUUGAAAACCCUAGCCAUGGUGUUUUUCAUGAAAAAUUUGUCCAUGAGGAAGAAGAUGAGCAAAUUUGGCUUAUUUUGGCAUUUUUAAUUCAUUUAAUUACCAAUUUACUAAAAUGCCCUUAAUGAAAAACUUUUAAAAACCUAUCAUACCAUGUCCAUUUUUGUCCAAAAACUUCAAAAUGGUCUAAUUACCAUUAAAGGACCUUUAAUUUAAAAACUCAACAAUUAGACACUUCUAACAUGUAGAACUCAACUUUUGCACUUUUUACAAUUUAGUCCUUUUGACCAAAUUGAGUGCCCAAACGUCAAAAUUUUCGAACGAAAUUUUCACAAAAUCAUUCCGUGAAAUUGUAGACCAUAAAAAUAUAAUAAAAAUGAAUUUUCCUCAUCAGAUUUGUGGUCCCGAAACCACUGUUCCAAUUACGCCCAAAAUCAGGAUGUUACAUCUACUAGAACUCUGAGUAUCACAUCCUCUCUUAGGUGGUCUCCCAAAUACAGUAGAACUAUCGAAGAUUUUUUUUCUCGAUUCAUUCACUAUUGAGCGCAGCGGCUUAGCCAAAGUCUCCUCAACAGCUUUGGCUUUCUCUACCAACUCAUCAAAUAGCUCAGUAUUUUGAGCUACCAAAUAAACCCGAAUCUCUCGAUUAAACCCAAAAUCAAACCUCUUGCAUUAGACCUUCUCAAUAAGAACCAUCUCAAGAGCAUACUGACUGAGUCAUACAAACUCUGACUCAUAGUCAGCCACAGUCAAACUACUUUGAACCAUGUCCAGAAACUCAUGUUUAUAGGCUUUCAUGUAUUGUUUGCCUAUAAAAUUCCUUUUGAAAACCUCUAAGAAAUAACCCCCCGUCAAACGGUCUAUAAUGGUACCUCUCUUUACCUUAUUCAACCAACGAUAGGCUUACCGUCGAGUAGGGACACGGUACAAUCCAACUUCUCCUUGUUAGUACAGGACAUUUGUUCGAUGAUCCUCUCAACAUCUUCAAGCCAGUAUUCCGCUACAGUCGAAUCAGCUCCUUUCACUUUAGUAAAAUCUUUACCUCUCAAAUCCUACAAACGUUCAAGUGGAAGUCCCUGAUUGGCAAUUGCUAGAGCAGAGUUGCCACUAGCAAUCCUCUAAAAUGCCCCAAUCUUCCAUCAAAGGACCAACACCCUCAUUAGGUAUAUUCACUCUAUGCGGUAGCACAUGAUGUGCAAAAGGUGUAUCAUCCUCUUUAGCAUUCUCCUUUACAUUCAUACGUCUAUGAGGAAUCUUGUAUCUAAUAUCGCACACACAAAAAAAUUAAAGGUGAGAGUGGCGGGGAAAAGAUCCAAGGCAUAUUUCUAAAAGAAAACUUUUGUAUAAAGGUAAUGCAUUAUCAAUCCUACCAUAAUUUCAAGCAAGUUUAUACACUUUCAAGCAGAGAUAUCUAAAUCAGAUAGUUCAAGUAUUAAGAAAAUUUAGACACUUAGGUUUCUGGAUACAUGGGUUACGUAACCUCAAUCUGUACAUAGUUAACUUAGGUCUGAGUGUUAGAGAAUCUAGACUCUAUACCACUAAAUGAAACACCCCACACUUGGCCCGGCCACUAGACCCGAGUAACAGGAAUCCAUAACAACCAUCGUAACUUACACGUACAUGCACAACAUUCAAGCGAGGUCAAUUAUUAAUAACUUAAUCAAUUACAAAGGUGUUCACGAAUUAACAAACAUUAAUCGUCACUAGAAACAAUUUAAAAACGUGCUUAAGGACCAUUUAGAAAAAUUAUAAAGAAAUCAUGUAGGUAUCGAUAUUUAUCAAGACAGGUAUCAGUACCAUUAAGAAAAUCAAUACCAUUUUAGCAUUUUCCUUAAAAAUUUGAAACCAAAAGUUUUAUAGAUACCUAAACAAAUGUAUCUGUAUUUUUACCUCAAGUAUCAAUACUCGUGAAAGAGUAUCGAUACCAAAUUGAGUUAUUGUUUACCUGCACAUUCGUUCUAGUACUGAGGUAUCGAUACUUAUACUUUAAAUAUCAAUACCUCUAUACUAUUUGACAAAAAACACAACAACAUCAGGCAAAAUUCAUACUCAAACAUAUUGCUCUUCGACAUGCAUCAGCAAACACAUUAUCCGACAUCAAAUUGACCAUACAUAUAGUCUAAAGCACCAUCAAAACUUCAACUAUUCAAGCCAAAAUAAAACCAAUAAAAUGAUAAUAAAUCCAUCAAAAUCCUAAAAGUCUAAAAUCAUAAUAAACCAUUAAGGACACAAAAACAAUCAACCAAACACAUUGCCUUUAUUCCCAAAGUUCAAAAGAAUAAUAAUGUCACCUUCUCAAUUUACUAUAGCCGAACCUGGAUUACUUUCUUGGUUGCACCAUUCACAUCAGAAACAUUAAUUAUCUGGAAUGGUAUGGAAAGAGUGUGUGAGCUUAACGAGCUUAGUGAAUGAUCAAAAUUACAGCAAAUAAACAUAUUAUCAUAUGUUAAACAAGAGCAUCUAAAGCACAAUUACAACAAUACUAAACUAUAACGCCAAACAAAUUUAAUUAUGCAUUGCUUACAAAUACAUCUAACUUUGUACUCAUAUACUUAUAUAUAUUGUAACACCCCUCACCCGUAUUCAAUGCUGGAAUAGGGUUACAGAGCAUUACUAAACUUAUCACAUAUUUAAACAUACAAUUCUCAUACAAUUAGUCAAUUCAAAUACAAUUCAUUCACAAUUAAUGAUAUUGUCCAAAUUACGAGCCUACGAGGCCCAAAACAUGCAUUCUAGGUGAUUCGAGAUGUAACACCCCUAAGCCGUAUCCGUUGUCAGAACAGGGUUUCAGAGUGUUACCAAAACAUUCAGAACACUUUUCAAUUAAUUUACAUAAAUUACUAUUCAUUUAUCAAGAUCAUACAUAUCAUCCCUUAUAUGGACCCUCGAGGCCCAAAACGAGUGUUGGAAUCAAAUCGGGACUAAAUUGAUAACUUAAGGAACUUUUCAUGAAAUUCCAAACAUUUUCCUAAGUGCAGGGCUCACACGCCCGUGUGGUCUAGGGACACUGUAACAGCCCGAUUUUGGGCCUAGUUGGAACAGUGGUUACGGAACCACAAAUUUGAGGUCUGAGAAAUCAUUUUUAAUAUUAUUUUAUGUUUCAUAGCAUGAUUAUAUAAGUGCAUGAAAAUUUUGGUGAAUUAAUUUUAGUGUUUGCGAGCUUAAUUGAGAAAAAUGACUAAAUUGCAUAAAGGGAAAAAGUUUUGUUUUGCUAGCCAAAUGUGUUAAACAACUAGAGAACCAUAAUUUGGGGUCUUUAAAGUGAAAAUUGGCCUUUAAAUUGGUGGUGGCUGGCCAUAGAGACAAAAAGAAGAAAGUUGUCAAAGUUAGGUGAGUUUUGGUGACUAAAUUGGCUAGAAAUAAAAUAAAAUAAAGAGAGAAUGAUAUCAUCUUUUUCUCAUCUUCUUCUCCACCAAAAAUACCAGAAAAUAGGGGGUUUUGAAAGCUCAAAAAUAUCAGCCAAUUAUAUCCCUUGCAAGUAAGUGAUUUAGAUAGCCUUUGUUGAUGAUUUUUGCAUUUUUAGGACCCUUGUAGCAUGAGCUAGCUAAUGAGGGGACUAUUUUGCAAAAUGGUUGAAAUUCUAGGGUUUUUCCAUGAGAGAAUUUGUAAUCUUUGCUGAAAAUUUGUGAAAGAAAAUGAAUCUUGUAUGUUUAAUAAACAACUUUUCUGAAAGGAUUUUCAUGAAAACACCUCAAAUGAACCAUUUUGUAAAGUUUAUAAAAUGAGUGAUAAGUGUGAGAAAUAAUUGAAAUUUUGGGCUGCUUCUAGUAUAAAAAGAAUUUGGCUAGGCUUGGUUAGUGAGAAAAUUUGAUAAAAAUCAUUUUACGAGCCUAGGGGAAAAAUCGUAAAUUUUGUGAAAGUUUAGGGGCAAAAUAGUCAUUUUGCCAAAGUAUAAAUUAUGAAAUGUAUUGGUUAAUAUGAUGAUUUAAUUAGUGGAUUUUAUUAUUUUAGAUCAAGAAAAUCAAGAUUCGGGCUUAAAUCGGAAGGUACGAGGUUAUGGACUAAAAUGGAAUAAUUAGCCGAAAUUCCAUUCGAGGUAAGUCCGUGUGACUAAAUAAGCAUGUUAUCCAUGUUAUUGUUAAUAUACUUGAAAUCUAUCUUGCUAUGAUUGUAUUAAAUUAUAUGUUGAUGAUAUUGAGUAUGAGAAAGUGAUGUCAAAUGUUAAUAACAUUUAUUUGAUGAUUGAAUACAUUGGAAAUUGGAUGGAAUAUGAUAUUCCAUUGAAACGUGUAAGUUGUACAUAAGUAAGGUAACUAUAUCAUUUUUAUGUGUUGAAUGAUUAAUUUUGCGUAAUAUGAUUGAAAAUGCAUGAUGAAAUUUAAUGUAGUAGAGUCUCGAUUUAACUGAGGAAUAGAUUGGAUAUCCAUGCCAUGACAUUUGGGGUGACAUUUGAGCUAGUAUAAGACCAUGUCUGGGACAUGGCAUCUGCCACAUUUCGUAUGCCAGUGUAAGACCAUGUUUGGAACAUGGCAUCGGCUAUAUUAUGAGAGCCAGUGUAAGACCAUGUUAGACAUGGCAUCGGUGUUGACUGUGAGCCAGUGUAAGACCAUAUUGGACAUGGCCUCGACAUUGAGACGAGAGCUAGUGUAAGACCAUGUCUGGGACAUGACAUCGGUAAUUCACCCUCUUGUGUGAGGCUUAUCGGAUAUCCAUUAGUAUUCCAUAAGGGUUCACGGGUUAUUUUAAAGCUCAUGAUAAUGAUAUGGAAUGAUAUAAUCAUGUUGUGAGCGGUACAAGUUCUUAUUUGAACCCAUGAGAUAUGAUUCUAGUUAUGUUGCCCUGAUGGCAAGAAUGAUACGAGUAAGUUCUAGCUAUGAAAAUGAGUAAGCUAUGUUUAUGAUGAUGUUGAAAGGGUACAGGUAUGUACUAGAAAUUCAUGAGUGAUGAGCUCGAUGCAUAUUGGACUUUUGGUAAGAAUGUAAAUGAGUAAGUCAUAGUUAUGAGAAUAACUUUGUGACGACCUUGUAAAUAUUAGGUCGAUACCUAUGGUGGGUAAUUAUGUCGUAAAUUUGAUUGAUGAUUAUGUAUGAGGCUUUUAGGUCGAAUUAAAUUGGGACAUGAUAUGUUUACCCCUUCACCUUGUGGCCUAAUAAAUAUGGAAAGAGAAAUUGAUUGGCAUAAAAGCCUAUUUAAAGAUAAUUAUGAAAAUGUAAAAUUAGUAUUGAAACAGUUUUAGACAGCAGCAGCAGUCUGACUUUAAAAAUCCACCAAAAAUUGUAGAAAUCGAAUUAGAGCCUGAAUAAAAUACAAAAUAAAAUAUUAUUGAGUCUAGUUUCAUAUAAAAGAAAUGGUGUAAGCAAAAGAAGUCCAUGUUAUGAGAUAUUUGAAUUGUUGUGAGAUAGAGUCAGAAAUUCUGAUUUCAGAAUCACAUGUUCCAAUUUAGGAAAAUCAUUAAAAAUUGUACAAAAAUAAUAGAAGGUUAUAAUUUAUAUGCUUAGAAUCCUAAAUGAAUCUAUUUUCAAAAGAGACAAAAUGGAACAUCAUCUGAAUCCCGUAUAAGGAGAUAAUUAAUUUUUAGUGAAGAGGAGUCAGAACUGUCGGAUAGCGAAACAGGGGUGACUUUAAAGAAUAAACUGUUAGACAGGACACAUUUUUCACAAAUUUCAGAAUUUUCCAUUGGUUUUUACCAUUUUUCAUUUUAGUCCCUAAAUCAAGUUUUCAUCAAAAAUUUCUUUGUAAAAGUUGUUUAUCUAUGAAUAACUUUUCAUUUUCUACCGUAAAUUUCUAAUUUUCAGCAUAUUCAUCCAUGACCCAAAUUUCACAUCUUGAUAACUUUUCAAAUUAAUCCCCUAAAUAGAGAGAUUAGACUAUAUCAAUUUCAAAUAUAUAAAAAUCAUGAAAAAUGGGACUUGAUUUCAUACCUUUUCAAGCUUGGUAAGUUGUCUUCCUCUCUCCUAGGGUUUCCAUAAAAAUUUUAGGGAAAAUGAUAUGAAAUUAGAUGAAUAUUUCUUUUUACUUAAUUUCAAUCUUUUAAUAUUAGUGCUUUGCAAUUUAGUCCCUUGCCUUUUCUAAUUUUUCCAUGGAUGAGUCAUUAAAAUAUCUACUAUCUACUCUUCAAUGGUCUAAUUACCAUAUAAGGACCUUAAGUUUUGAAUUCCAUAGCUAUUUGGUACCUAUAGCUACUAGAAUCCAAUUUUUGCAUUUUAUGCAAUUUAGUCCUUUACCUAAUUAACCACACAAUCAAUAAAAUUUUCGUAUCAAAAUUUUCAUUUGACCUUCCUAUCAUUAUGCCAACCAUAAAAUAAAAUAAAAUUAUUUUUUUUAAUUUUUAACUCAGAUUUGUGGUCUCGAAACCACUGUUCCGACCUAACCAAAAUUAGGCUAUUACAAAGGACUAAACCGGUAACUUUAGAAACUUCUAGAACACUUAUAAAUUUUUUCUCAAAAAAUAAGGGACACACGCUCGUGUGGCCUGUAUGUGUCUCUCACAUGGCCAAAGACACGCCCUUGUCGCAGGCCGUGUGGACAUUCGAAAUGGGAGCACAUGGUCGUGUCUCAGCCUGUGUCCGACCCCGUGUAACUCUUUAACUUGGGUCACGCAGCCAACACACAUGCCCAUGUGACUACCCCUGUGCCCUAAAAAUGGCCACACACGCCCGUGUGCUAGGCCGUGUGCUUGCCCGUGCCAAACAUGUAAGAUAAUACUAACUUAUGCCAGACAGCGAAGUCACACGCUCGUGUGUGACGCUGUGUGGAGCAUACUGACUUAAUUUUAAUUUCAACACUAGUGGACACACAGCCGUGUACAUGAUCGUGUAUCACACACAGUUGAGACACACACCCGUGUCUCUGCCCGUGUGGACAAAAAUAGGCUAUUUAUGAAGCCAAUUUACCACCCAAACUUGAGCACACCUACACCUGACUCAAUAGUACCAAAACAUAGCAUAAAUGAGCAUUUAAAUCCACUCCAACCAAGUAUAAUUCAUACCAUUUCAUUACCAACCAAUAUAAAACACAAAUACCACAAUGUGCCAUUCAAUUUCAUGCCAUAUUUCACUUUAUCAAAUCAUCAAUAUGGUCAUUUUCUAAACAUACAUUAUUUUACCUAAUUUCAUAAACAUACCAAGUUCAUUACUCAAUCAUUUAGUACUUCUAAAUACCAAAUACCAACAAACAUAACAUAUUCAUCUUUAAUCACAUAACCAAGCCAUAUGCACAUUGAUAUAUACAUAACCACAUCAACUAAACAAGCCAACUCUCAUGGCUAUAUACACCCAAAACAUUUAACAUUCACAAGCCAUUUCAAAUGGCAAAAAUCAUUAUCAACUCAUAACCAAAAUAACCAUAAAUCUUAUACAUGCCAUAUACCUAAAACAUAAGCUCAAAAGUACUAAACUGAUAGUAGGAUAGUGUGAAAAAGUCUCCGAUGAUCCCCGAAUACGAGCUAGCUUCGAGAUCACUAUAAAACACGGUAAAAUAAAUAAAGUAAGCUUUAUAGCUUAGUAAGCUCGUAUGAAAUAAAUGCAAUAUGAUUAUAAAUAUAAAAUUCAACAAAUUGAAUAUGUCAACAUGUAACUCAUAUUAUCUAACAAACCUUUCAUAUAAUCAAUCCUAAUAUUAUACAUAUCUUUCACAAAUUCCUUCAAUUUAAAGCUUAUACGGUUCAUGUACAUACCUGUACCAUCUCGUAUCAAUUUCAUACUCAACCACGUCUAUCAUUUACUAGUUGAACCAUUCAGAAUACUAUCGGAUACUCAGGAAACUCGCACCAAAGUGCCACAUACAUAGCCAAUGUUAUCUCAAUCUCAUAUCACAUAUAUGUUCACUCUCGAGCUAUCAACGGGCCUGCUCACACAAGCUAUGGGUCAAGACGUAGCUACACGGUGUUGCACACACAAGCUAUCAAGUAACCGCAACACAUGUCGGUAUACUCAGCCACCGAUAGGACAUACAAGACUAGCACCCGGAUCAAAAUAUCACAAUAACCCCUAAUGACAUGUCAUGUGUAUCCUAAUCUAUUCCUAAGGUUCAACCGGGAUUUCAAAUGCUGAAUCGUUGCCGAAUCAUUGUAGAACAUGUUUGUAGUCUCGUAUUCAUAGUUUAAUAUCAAAGCAUUUAAAAUACAUUUAUAACAAAACUUAUUACAUACGAACUUACCUCAAUUCACAAAAAACGGUGAAAUAAGUCGAUUAGUCGAGUACUUUGUUUUCCCCCCGAUCUAGAUCCGAACUUCAUUUUUCUUGAUCUAUAUAAUAUCAAAUUUAGCUUAUUUAAUAAUCUUUCUAUUCAAUUUAAUCCAAAACACUCAAUAAAGCACUUUUACAUUUUUUCCCCAAGUAUUUCACAACUUUUACAAAUUUAUCCUGAUUUCAUAAAAUUACAAAUUCAUGCAAUUCCACCCAAACCCAUGCUAGCCGAAUUUCAAUUAGGUCCCUAGUAGCCCAUAUUUUUCAUUUAUUUCACAUUUUAACCACAAAGUUUCCACAUUUCACAAAUUAAUCCCUAACUUACAUUUUCACUAAAAAUCACUUAAAAAAACUUGUAUAACUAACAUCAAACAUUCAUAAUCUACCAUUAAACAUCAAAAUACACGCUUAUUCAUCAAUGGAAACAUCCUAAAUCUUUAAUAGUUCUGUAAAAUAGUCCUUGGGCUAGCUAAACCUAGCUGCAACGAUCUUAAAAACACAAAAAUCAUUAAAAAUAGAGUCAAAAUACAUACCAGUGCAAGGAAAUAACUUGGCUGAACCCUAGCUAUGGAUUCCUUCAUAAAUUCGGCUAUGGAUGAUGCAGAUGAAGAAGAUGGAUAUAUUUCACUUAAGUUAUUUUAACAUUAUUUACUAAAUUACAAAGUUAACCUUAAGUUAAAACAUUAAAAACUACAUAAUGCAUGUCCAUCUUUGUCCACUUACUUUAAUAAUGGUCUAAUUACAUCUUAAGGACUUUCACUAUUUAACUUCAUGGCUAUUUAAUACCUUUAACUAUUAGAACAACACUUUUGCACUUUACGCAAUUUAGUCCUUUUUAUUGAAUUGAACACUGAAACAAUAAAAUUUCUUAACGAAAAUUUCACACAAACAUAUUAUCAUGUUGUAGACAUUAAAAUAAUAAUAAAAUAAUUAUUUUUACUUUGGAUUUGUGGUUCUGAAACCACUGUUCUGAUUUGACUAAAAACGGGUUGUUACAUAUAUAGCAUAGUUCAUAACAAUCGUUAAUUGACAAAUUUAGCACUUGAGACUAUGAAAUAUAAAAGUGGGCUCUAUCUAUAACGCCCUGAAUAACUUAUUUCUAUUUCUGUACACAAAUAUAUAUUUGCUUUAGUGGUUAAGUGUUAUGGGUGUAUGUAUGAAGUCUAGGGUUCAAGUCUCAUAUUUGCACAUUUUGAUAUUUUAGAUUUAAGCCUUACCCUUAUUCAGUGGGCUUAUUUAAAAAUGUUUGUUAAUAUGUAUCAAAAUGAGCCUGUUGGUUCGAGUGGUAAGGAGUUAGUGUAUUGGGGUCUCAUGUUCGAGUCUUGGCGUGGACGUGGAUGUUUAUUUUUAUCUGGCAUGUCUGUUAGAGUUUCUAUUGAGCAAGAAUUCUGAAUGGUUAAUGGGUUAGUGGGGAGAGAAAAUUUAGGGAUAUGUUGGCAUAUUUUCUAUUUUUAUUCUAUUUUAUUUUUAUUUUGUUAUCUUUUCUCUCACUUCCAAAAAUCCCUAAAAGUUUUGACGUCAAAUAUUUUUCUUUCUUCCAUCUUCUGACAUAUUUUUCUUUCGUUUCCUUUUAUUCGAUUUGUGAAUCCUGAGUUCAAUCGUCGUUAUUAUGAUUCGUGGUUCUUUAUUCGGUGGGUAAGUGAUUUUACAUCCCCUUUAACUUCUGGUUUGGAUUUAACGAUGUUAGAUUGUGGUAUUAAUUGGUGGAUUUUAUGAUCUAGAGAAGGUUGUGAGGCGAAAAAUCUCACUUCAACAGCUUGAUUCAAGGUUGGGAUCAUUUUUCGUUAGGGGUAAGUCGAUUUUAUAUAUUUGGGUAAAUCGUAUUACACUUGUAAAUUGGUUGUUAAAAGGUGUGGGGUACUCUGUUUUUAUAUUUUGGAGGGCUCGAGAGUGGUUUCACAUCAAAACUAUAUCAAGUGUGUACCCAAAACACAGAAAAUCAAGCUUCGGUAAAAGCCGAAAAACCACAAUGUCGAUGCCACACGGGCGUGUACCUGGCCGUAUGGUUGGCCAUGUGUGGGACACGGCCGUGUGUAUGACAAAGGCAUGGCUGUGAGCAAGACACAGCCGUAUGGUGGUGUGAAUGUGGCCGUGUGGGCCAUACAGGCUAGGCCAAGUUGGACAUGUCAGCCCACACGGGCGUAUGAGUUUUGGGCCAGGCCGUGUGGGCCACACGCCAUUCUGAAAUUUUCCCUAGGGUCACAAGGGUCAUUCCGAUCCACUGUGGGCCUACCGUAGGUCAAUAAGGGCUAACCAAACCCUAACACUGUGAGAUCUGAUAGUCUGAUGUUUUGCUCUAAGUAUGACAUUGUUAUGCAUGCCUGAUUAUUCUAAUGUAUAUUCAUUUGAUAUAUGUAUAUGAGCAUGUAAGCAUGAUAAUUUUGAAUAUACAUAUCUAAUUCGGGUGGGAUAUGUAUAUGUGGAGGAAGUGUUCUGUAUGGCGACCAUCGCCUUUACUCUGGCAGCUUAGCUGUACAUUAUCUGACAUGUGUCGUAAUGGCACAAUAUGGUGUGUAGGGUUGGGUGGGUGUUUUUAACCUCACAUGGUGUGAUGAUAUGGUCAGAGUUGGUGUGUCGAGGAUGGGGGUAGGAUUCUAUACAUUUGUUCUACAUAUUUAUUUCUGUUAUCUGAAUCUAUAAAGGACCUAAGUCUAAAUCUGAAUCUGAAUCUAACUGUGUGUGUGAUUUCUGUAUGUGUAGCAUGUCUAUUUUUGUUGGGUUACAAAUUGAGUUUACGUAAACUCACUUCUUUUUGUCUAUUCUGUUCAAGUAAUCCACAGACUUAGGUGGAUUAGUGCAGUAGAGUCUCACGGUAACCACUAGUCUAUAAACUGACUUUAAAUAAAGGUUUUAUUUAUUUAAGGAUUAUUUCUGAGAAUUUUGUAUUAAUUGGACUCUCCAGACUGUUUGGUUUUUAUUAUGGAUUUGGAUUUUCAUUUUGAUUCUUUAUCUGCGACAGUUGACUAAAAACAUAGUUUUUACUAAAAUAAAGGUUUUUCUGAAAACAUGAACUGGACUUUCAAAAUAUAAUGAUUUCUAAAACUUUCGCUGUAAGUUAUGUUUUGCAAAUGAUUUGGUUAAAUAACCCUAUCAAUGAUGAUUAUAAAACAUGGACGAUUUUUCAAACAACUACACAAAGGUUUAUCGAAACAACUCUGUUUUAAAAUCCUUCUUAGUGACAUAUCUGGAUUCAGUCAUAACGUCUAGGCCGAGUUCGGGGUGUGACACUAUCACAACAUAUUGGAUACACAAAUCUCCAGCACACCAAUGGCUCGAAAAGUCGAACAUAUCUCAUAACUGUAGCAUCAAGCUAACACUCUCCAACACACCAAUAUAUCCUGAUGAAUGUAGCUUAGCUCACAUUUCUUAUCCCUCCAAACUAUCCUAGGCAUCAAUGCCCCAAAUCACAACACAAGGGUGAGUACUCACAAAAUUCUAUAGCAUGCCAACUAUAUCCAACAGUCUCAAAAGGUCACAAGGCCAAAGUAUCCACAAUUAUACACAUUUACUUAUUGCUUUCUGCACAUUUUCACUGCUAUUUUACAUCAUACACACAACAUGUCACUACCACACAACAUGCUUACCAUGCUCUCUGUUGCAACACUUACAAGUGCUAACAUAUAACUAAAUGAGCUAUAAUCAUAAUAAGUCACACAUACAUGCAUAAAACAGUAGUUUCAUAUUACAAACUAACACAAUCACAUAACCACAAUGUUGUAAAGUACACAAAAAGAGUAAGAAAAAGCUUACACUUGGAACUUAGGAUAGGUGUUUAAGUUACUCCUAAGCUCACACUAUGAAUCGUGUCUACAAAUAGUGAUUCCAAACAUUCACCGUUCACGCUUUCGCCUAUUUGUUGAAAGCUUAACCUAUCUUUUUCGUACCUUUUGCUUUGCUCGUUGAGGGUUCCAACAGUUCUGAAUUUCCUCACAUAUUAACCACACAACAUACACAAUUAAUUAGCAUCCAAACACUCCAUAAUCAAACAAAAAUAUAAAUCUAAGGUUGGUUCCACUUGGAACUGAAAUUUUCGACUAGCAUAGUCGAUACACAAAUAUCUUAAUCCACAUUCAUUCCUAACACUUAAAACUGAUUCUAAACAUCUAAUUACUCGUCUAAGAAUAAUUCUCAACCUUAAAAUCACCCAAAACUCCUCAAACUUAUGGUUUCGAAAAUUUUGACAUACAUAGCCAUUAUUAAUGAAAACUCAUCAAAACCUUCAUAUGUUUUAAUGAAACUUUAAAGCAAGUUUAAAAACCUUAUAAUCACAUCAAAAUAAAUUUUAAAAUGCACUGAAAUAGUAGUUCUUUUUUAAAAUAUAAAAUCAGCCAUUAACAACCCCAAUUUCGGCUAACAUGGAAAAUCCUUAUUUCAACUGAUUUAAAUAGCUAAAGUGCAUUAAAAACUAUUAGAAAUACAAGACUUACCCCGAUUGAAGAAAACGACAAAUUGUUUGAUUGAAAUUUGAGAAAACCAACUUGAAGAAUAUCAAUAUAAUAAAUGGUAUUUUGGUGUUCUUCUUUGUACUUAAAAAAGGUUUGAUGUUUAGAGGAUGAUAGAAAACAAAGGAUUGGAGUAGUGAAGACCAAAUUUUGAAGAAUGGUGUUUAGAUUUUUUUUUUCUUUCUAAUAAACAACACAAAGAAAAGGGGAGAAUAGGUGUUUCUUUUUUUUCACGUCAAUAAUAAGGUGAAAGGGGGAAAAUGGGCUAAUUUUUAACACUUGGUAUAAUUAUUUUUAAGCUACUUUUAAAUUAAACCCUUUUUAUAAAAUAGUCCACUUUUUAAAAUUGAAAGUCUUUUUAACAUUAUUUUCAUAAAUCAAUUUAAAUUUUCAAAACCAUAGACGAAGAUAUUUUUAGGCUGCAUAUUUUCAAUUCUCGAACGCCAUUUCAAGCCAUAAUUCCAAAACUAUCCUCAAAACUUCUAGACCCAAUUUCGGGAUGUGAUACCAAUGGUCAUUGAAUUUUGCAUUAAAUGUAAAAAAUAUUAAUACCUUGUUAGCAAGUAUCGAUACUUGUAGUUCCAAGUGAAGUAAAUGUGCUGGUUAUUUCAUCCCCAAUGGCUUUCAUUUCUCCAACAACCGAAAUGGUUGGAAAUCAAUUAGAAGGUAUAAAUAUCAGCUUCCAAAGGUCCGAAAACAAUAAGAGAUAUUAUCAAGCUUAAAGAUCAAUCAAAAACAACCUUGUGCUUACUAUUCUCAACAAUAUUCUUUAAACACACUUGUGAGUUUUCAUUGUAUUCAUUUAGCUAAAAUAUUUCUCUUUGUAAUUGAGCUUAAUUUGCAAACAUUCUAAUCUUGUAAGGGUUUGUUCUUAGUUUGCUUAUUUUUUAUUCUCUUUAAGAAGGUUUUGUCUUUAAAUUUGGGUAAAAACCUUAAGGGAGUUUGUAAGAUUAAAUAUUGUCCUCAAAGGUUGUCAAAUUAGUGAAUUGGGGAAAAUCGUUAGUUGUGGAAAGCUAAGGUAGUGGAGUAGGCAACUGGGGUCGAACAACUAUAUAUCAACGUGUUCAUUGUCUCUACCUUUUUUUCUUAGCAACCAUAAAUUUUUAAAAGGCCAAUUCACCCUCUCUUGUUAAUUUCGAGUUUAUUCGUCGAGCUAACAUAUUCACAUGAUCGUUAUGUGUAUAUAUAAUCACUAGUUAAAAAGAUGAAAAGAACACCACUCUCUUGAUUCUAAAUUUCAAACAUGAAACAAAAGUCUUAGUUAACAUAAUUUGCGCAUAUGGUCUUGUUCAUGCUUUGCUAAUUACGUUUAUUUUAUUUGUUGUGUAAACGGGCCAAUUUGCCCGGGCCCACGUCAAAAUCAAAAUACAAAAUAAAGAAACAAAAAACCAAUAAUUAAUUAAAUGUCCUUUUACAGUCCAAAGCCCAAAAUUAAUUCCAGACCCUAAAACCCAAAUAACCCCAAAUUAAACCCUAAAAUUACAUCGGCCCAAAUGGCCUAAAAAUUUUAGAACAGGCAGAACCCUAGGGUUCUCUCCUUUGCGCCACAGCCAAGCCUCCAGCACCGUACACUCCGUACCGUCCAGCAGCCACGCCCGUGCCAGCACAGCCCCGUACUCGCGCCAACGCAUGCUCCGUACCUGCAACAAAUGAGGCAAAUACAGCAGCAAAUACAAACAAAGAACAAAAAUUGUAUUCUUUUUUUAUUUUUGAACAUUCGGCUAUAAAGCCUAGGAUUUUCGAUUGUAAAGGGGUUCCUUUUUUACGAACACACGCACAUUUACGAACACAGAGACAAUCGCAAUUAAUCAAAAAAUAAGGAAUGUGAUUUUCCUUCUCUUUUUAAUCCUCUGUUCUUUUUACUUAUUUCAAUCGAUUUCUUUAUCAUUUUACACCAAAAAAAGGGCAAAAAAAGGCAUGAGAAAAGGAACGAAACUUACCUGCGUUUGAUGCCUUCGAAUCUUUCACUUGUUACACCACGAUCGAAACCAAGUGGCAAUUUGGGGUUUGUGAGCAGGACACACGAGUCUUUCGGUUCGAUGAAGCCUUAAUUGACUUUUGAAUGAGUCGAAAAGAGAGGUAGGAGAACAAACCUUCGAAGGGCUGUUAAACGACGAAGGGUUGGCGGCACCCUAAUUUUUUUUCUUUCUUGCUUUUUGAAAAUGGCUGCAGACCCUUUUAGGGUUUCUUUCGGUGACCACAAGGGCCCUUCAGACGUCACCGUUUUAGGCUAAAUUAAUGGCCUCAAAACAACUGCGUUCAAGGCUACAGCCUGAUGACCCGACCCGCACACGCUUAAGAUCCGCGUGUCUAGUCGCUGAUGGGAUAUUUUUAACAUAGGUCCCUCCUCUUUUGCGCUGCUUCUCAAUUAGCUAUUUUGUAUUUCUUUUUUUUUAAUUCGACCUGUAAUUUGCGCUUAUUUGCAAUUGGAUCCGCGCCUAAACGCAGCACUUUGGGACCUGGCAUAUUGCCAGUUUUAGUCCCUUUUCAUUUGCGCGAAUGGCAUAUUGGUCCCUGUCAUCAUUUUUUUUAUUUCCUAAUUUUCCCCUUGUUUUAAUUUAAUUUUAAUUAAAUCCUUUUAGUUUAUAACUUUUAUUCUUAAUUACUUAUUUGUACAAUUGUUUUGAAGAUUUUUUAUGUUAAUAUUUCGUAUUUCUUUUAUUUUAUAUAUAUAUAUAUAUAUAUUUGUACAUGCAUAAUUUUGUUUUGUUUUAUAAAGUCAUCAUUUUAAUUUAUUUUUUUUGCGUUAAGCUAUUUUAAUAUCCUUAUAUAACUUUUUGUUUAAAUAUUAAUAUAUAUAUGUAUACUUUGUAUUAAAGUUAAUUUUAUUUUAUAUGUACAGA